GAUGAACGCUGGCGGCGUGCCUAAUACAUGCAAGUCGAGCGAACAGACGAGAGUGCUUGCACUCUCUGACGUUAGCGGCGGACGGGUGAGUAACACGUGGGUAACCUACCUAUAAGACUGGGAUAACUUCGGGAAACCGGAGCUAAUACCGGAUAAUAUUUAGCUUCGCAUGAAGCAAUAGUGAAAGACGGUUCUGCUGUCACUUAUAGAUGGACCCGCGGUGUAUUAGCUAGUUGGUGAGGUAACGGCUCACCAAGGCAACGAUACAUAGCCGACCUGAGAGGGUGAUCGGCCACACUGGGACUGAGACACGGCCCAGACUCCUACGGGAGGCAGCAGUAGGGAAUCUUCCGCAAUGGACGAAAGUCUAACGGAGCAAUGCCGCGUGAGUGAAGAAGGUUUUCGGAUCGUAAAACUCUGUUGUAAGGGAAGAACAAGUACGUUAGUAACUGAACGUACCUUGACGGUACCUUACCAGAAAGCCACGGCUAACUACGUG
rnacentral:rRNA from 1 species